rnacentral:piRNA from 1 species
AGCCUCCAGUAGGCGCUGUGCUGUGUAAGC